GACGAAGGGCGCGGGUGUUAUUCGUUUUGAUUGGGUGUAUAGGGUACGUAGACUGCUUUUGAAACUCUUGACAAAAAAUGCGGGGUGUUCCUACGUAAUUGUCUGUUGCCUAGAUUAAGCUAGUGUUGAAAAUAGGUUGGGGAAAUUUGGUGUGUAAGGGUAAAAUCUUACGAACUACGAACGAACGCCAGUGUGCAGAGGCGCCUCUCUAGUUUCAUCAGACGUUAAGGUACGGAAGCCCAGGGAUCCAACAGG
rnacentral:rRNA from 1 species